AACGCGAAGAACCUUACCUGGUCUUGACAUCCACGGAAGUUUUCAGAGAUGAGAAUGUGCCUUCGGGAACCGUGAGACAGGUGCUGCAUGGCUGUCGUCAGCUCGUGUUGUGAAAUGUUGGGUUAAGUCCCGCAACGAGCGCAACCCUUAUCCUUUGUUGCCAGCGGUCCGGCCGGGAACUCAAAGGAGACUGCCAGUGAUAAACUGGAGGAAGGUGGGGAUGACGUCAAGUCAUCAUGGCCCUUACGACCAGGGCUACACACGUGCUACAAUGGCGCAUACAAAGAGAAGCGACCUCGCGAGAGCAAGCGGACCUCAUAAAGUGCGUCGUAGUCCGGAUUGGAGUCUGCAACUCGACUCCAUGAAGUCGGAAUCGCUAGUAAUCGUGGAUCAGAAUGCCACGGUGAGUACGUUCCCGGGCCUUGUACACACCG
rnacentral:rRNA from 1 species